rnacentral:rRNA from 1 species
UACGAAGGGGGCUAGCGUUGCUCGGAAUCACUGGGCGUAAAGCGCACGUAGGCGGCUUACUAAGUCAGGGGUGAAAUCCUGGAGCUCAACUCCAGAACUGCCUUUGAUACUGGUGAGCUUGAGUCCGGAAGAGGUGAGUGGAACUGCGAGUGUAGAGGUGAAAUUCGUAGAUAUUCGCAAGAACACCAGUGGCGAAGGCGGCUCACUGGCCCGAUACUGACGCUGAGGCACGAAAGCGUGGGGAGCAGACGGG